rnacentral:rRNA from 1 species
GCCAGCAGCCAUAGCACCUGCAGUUCAGGCUUGGUAAUCUCCCUGAAGCUAAGCAGGUUUGGGCCUGGCUAGUACUUGGAUGGGAGACCAACUUGGAAAGCUGGGUUGCUGCUGGAA